rnacentral:rRNA from 1 species
UACGUAUGGUGCAAGCGUUAUCCGGAUUUACUGGGUGUAAAGGGAGCGUAGGCGGCGCGUCAAGUCUGAUGUGAAAACCCGAGGCUCAACCACGGGAGUGCAUUGGAAACUGGCGGGCUGGAGUGCCGGAGAGGUAAGCGGAAUUCCUAGUGUAGCGGUGAAAUGCGUAGAUAUUAGGAGGAACACCAGUGGCGAAGGCGGCUUACUGGACGGCAACUGACGCUGAGGCUCGAAAGCGUGGGGAGCAAACAGG